ACCAGGAUUACUAACUGCGAGUCAGAGCGUGUCCUCAAGCCCCCACAGCACAAUGAAGGUGAAGGUUGGCAUGUACCAGCCCAUCCUGCCAGCUCUGUCAGGGAGGAGGAGCUAAAGCAUGCGCAAUGGUACUUAAAAGAAUGUGAACUAUGCCUGUACAGGGCAAAGCCUGGGGAAACUGUGUUGGGGGCCUGCAGCAGUCCUGAUGUGCAAAUCGUUUGUCCGACCUUGAUACAGAGGCAAAAGACUAAUACUAAUAUACAUCUAGUAGCUGGUUUCCUCUGAACUUUCCCUCAGGAUAACUUGCACUUUCCAUACAGUUUUAUCUGGUAAAGCAAAUAACUAGAGGCAUUGGGGCCGAAAUGACCUCAACCUAUUUUUAAACUUUAAAUGGGUGUAGCAAAUUAGCUCAAAGUGAAUAGAAGAAUAAUUUGAAUGGGGUUUUAAAAGAAUAGACUCUUUAAAUCUAAACAGAUUAAUCAUUCAGGGAUCAUUCAAACGGACAGUUGACUUCAAUUAUGGCUAUUGCUAUCCAAAAAUAAAAACCCAUUUAUGUUUAAGCAGGAUAACAAGGUUGAAGUUUAAGGCAUUAAAUUCAUAAAUAAGCACAGGCACCUUUCUUUAUACAAAAUGACACUUUAUUGACUAAUCUAAAGGAAACUAACACCUAACAAAAUCCCACAUUCAUACAUGAUGUUGAGAAGAGCAAAGGAAGAGAAAUAAGAAUUUGAGAGAGUGUAAUUAUGCAAAAUUCUCGAAUUUUGUAAGCCCAAACCAAAAAUAAUAAAUUAAGCCCUUCUAUGGUCUCCAUAGGGUCAGAUUUAGUUUAGCCAUUAAGCAUGUGGCCAUUAAGCAUGUGGUUAGCUGGUGGUCAGUUUUCUGUCCUCGCAAGGCUUGAAUGGGGUGGAGUUUGGAUUUUCAGUUGAGGCGGCAAAACUGACUUUUGGUUUUACAGCACGCUAAACUUGAGCAGACUCUCGAAGGAAAGAAAAGAAAGUUAUCGGAGAUGUGUGGUCAACCCAUUUUUGCCAGAGUCCAUGUCUCUUCACUGGACCCGAAAAAAGCUGUCUUGAGGUGGUACGGAACAACUCUUUUUCCUCUGGGUGUUCUCUGGGGUUCUCUGGAUUCUGCUCUCUCCUGGGGCGUGGCCUUAGUUACCAGCUUUAUAAGGGUGGUUUUGUACCCACCCUCCGGAGCUUAGUUGACCAAUGAGAAGUUAUGAAGCCUGGUGAUUUGUAUAGGCGUUUUCUGUGUAAACUAUUGCUUUUGCUUAGAAAGAAACAUUAGAAAUAUAAGAAAUGUUCAAGUUUUUUAAAAUGUUAAUAUGUUGCAUGCGUAUUAACAUAACAUGUAAACAAUCAUUCAGUACACCAAAUUAGCUUUGCAGGGACAUCAAACAUGAACCAUCUAUGAUCUUGUUUAGCUGUGGUAGCGUUAAACAUUGAUUGCAGAAGCAUUAGAUCAUAAUAUUAAUACAUGAGCAAAAGACUUGUUGCAAAGCACCUGAUUACACAUAAAGAGAGAAUAAGGGUUUACAUUACAAGAAUGAGUCUUAAGCAAGGAGCUUAUGGAAGUUUAGGUCUCUGCGUGUACAUUUCUGAGCAUUUCUUUGUGUCGUAAAUACCUUAAAAUCAUAUUAAACACUGACCCUACUGUCUUUUACUGGGUAUAAGAGGUUGAUGAUGUAUCAUUUGUGGAAUAAACCAAAAUAAUUAUUUUUCUGAUCGGCCGCAAUCGUUAAAUGGGUAAAAAGCCAGGCAUGGAACGUGAGGCACCCAGUGGGCUAUUUUUGGUAAGCAGAACCGGUGCUGCAGGAUGAACCGAAAGCGAGGUUAAGGUGACAAACGAUGACAUUUAUUAGACACAAGAAAAGGUGUUGGCCGAAUCAACUAGCCCUGAAAAUGGAUGGCACUGGAGUGUCAGACCCAUACCCGGUCUGCGAUAGCAGAAUGAGUCCUUCUCUGGGGGAAAGGGUAAUGACGACUUCAAACAGGAGGACCACUAUGAUAGGGUCGAAACCCAGGGUGCGGGCCCGAGUGGAGUCGUCGUAGGUGCAGAUCUUGGGUAGUAGCAGAUAUUCAAAAAAGAGCUUUGAAGGCCGAAGUGGUGAAGGGCAAACGAACACAGAGAUGCCGGCGGGUGGGCCAGGAUAGAGUCCUCUUUUCUUUGUGAAGGGCAGGGUGCCCUGGAAUAAAUUCGCCCCGAGAGAGGGGCCCGCGCCACCCUUCUGGUGGCUUCUGGUGAGCUCUUGUUGGCCCUUAGAAACCCAGGGGUGAAGGUGUCUCGCGCCGGGGCGUACUCAUUUCUGCAGCAGGUCUUCAAGGUGAACAGCCUCUGGCA
rfam:Danio rerio chromosome 2, GRCz11 reference primary assembly.